rnacentral:ncRNA from 1 species
AAGCAAUCGCUUAGUGGAAAAGGAAGUGAUCGAGCGAUGACAACCAGGAGGUGGGCUUGGAAGCAGCCAUCCUUCGAAGAAAGCGUAAUAGCUCACUGGUCUAGCUCCAUGGCACCGAAAAUGUAUCGGGGCUCAAGUGAUUCACCGAAGCGACGAGACCUUGGAAGCGUUAAGCGGGCUCUCAAGACCCAAGGUUCUUUAUUCCCAUAAGGGUGAGGUAUUUCUUGCUCGACUAACAGGACCGGAGGGGCUCGACCCUUUUUUUACUUAAUUUGGGGGGCCAAUAAGUAAAUUGAAACUUUAGUUGCUCGACCAUAAGGUGCCGUUAGGCCGCUCGACCAUAAGGGAGAGGGAGAGGAGAGGUCAUUUCUUGACCAUAAGGUAACAGGAGAGGAGGGCGAGAAAGCGAGGCGCCAACCAAGUGUCAGUAGCGGGACGUUCUGUCAAUCGGGGAAGGGACAACACCUGGAGAUAUCAGAAGUGAGAAUGCUGACAUGAGUAACGAUGAAUCAUGUGAAAAACACGAUCGCCUGCCAGUUCCAGGGUUUCUGCGUUCAGUCAAUCUACGCAGAGUGAAUCGGUCCCUAAGGAACCCCCGAAAGGGCUUUCGUCCGAUGGGUACACGAAAGUGACGAAGUUGCCCCGACUACUGAACCAUGCGUGUCUGUUGAAGUGAAUUGGAUGAGAGUUCGAUUUUCCUGCCAACCAAAUUGAAUGAAUGCAAAAGCGCACUUCUGUUAGGGUUUCA